UACAGAGGUCUCAAGCGUUGUUCGGAUUCAUUGGGCGUAAAGGGUGCGUAGGUGGCGCCGUAAGUCAGGUGUGAAAUUUCGGAGCUUAACUCCGAAACUGCAUUUGAUACUGCGGUGCUUGAGGACUGGAGAGGAGACUGGAAUUUACGGUGUAGCAGUGAAAUGCGUAGAGAUCAUGAGGAAGACCAGUGGCGAAGGCGGGUCUCUGGACAGUUCCUGACACUGAGGCACGAAGGCCAGGGGAGCAAACAGG
rnacentral:rRNA from 1 species